rnacentral:rRNA from 1 species
UACGUAGGGUGCGAGCGUUAAUCGGAAUUACUGGGCGUAAAGUGUGCGCAGGUGGCCGCGCAUGUCGAGUGUGAAAUCCCCGGGCUUAACCUGGGAACUGCAUUGGUGACUGCAUUGCUGGAGUAUGGCAGAGGGGGGUGGAAUUCCACGUGUAGCAGUGAAAUGCGUAGAGAUGUGGAGGAACACCGAUGGCGAAGGCAGCCCCCUGGGAUAACACU